rnacentral:rRNA from 1 species
UACGGAGGGUGCGAGCGUUAAUCGGAAUUACUGGGCGUAAAGCGUGCGUAGGCGGCUCGUUAAGUCAGAUGUGAAAGCCCUGGGCUCAACCUGGGAACGGCAUUUGAAACUGGCGAGCUAGAGUUUGGGAGAGGAGAGUGGAAUUUCAGGUGUAGCGGUGAAAUGCGUAGAGAUCUGAAGGAACACCAGUGGCGAAGGCGACUCUCUGGCCUAAAACUGACGCUGAGGUACGAAAGCGUGGGUAGCAAACAGG